rnacentral:lncRNA from 1 species
CUUCAACCGCCGGUAAGAUCCGUCCGGACUCCUACGGGAGCCGGACUUCGCACCUGACUUUAAUUGCAGGGGACUCCGCUCGGACUCCUAAGGGAGCCGGGCUCCGCCCGCAACUUCAACUCCGAGANNNNNNNNNNNNNNNNNNNNAGCCGGACUCCACCCACGACUCCAACCGCAAGGAUAACUCCGCCCAGACUCCUACGGGAGCCGGGCUCCGUCGUCGACUUCAACCGUCGGUAAGAUCCGUCCGGACUCCUACGGGAGCCAGACUUCGCACCUGACUUUAAUUACAGGGGACUCCGUCCGGACUCCUACGGGAGCCGGGCUCCGCCCGCAACUUCAACUCCGAGAGGACUCUGCCCGGACUCCCACGGGAGCCGGGCUCCGCCCACGACUCCAACCGCAAGGAUGACUCCGCCCGGACUCCUAUGGGAGUCAGGCUCCGUCGCCGACUUCAACCGCCGGUAAGAUCCGUCCGGACUCCUACGGGAGCCGGACUUCGCACCUGACUUUGAUUGCAGGGGACUCCGCCCGGACUCCCACGGGAGACGGGCUCCGCCCACGACUCCAACCGCAAGGAGGACUCCGCCCGGACUCCUAUGGGAGCCGGACUCCAUCAUCAGCUCCGACCGCUGCCGAACUUCAGCCGACGGAUCUGCACUCCCAGGCAGGCCACAAUAACGGCCACGAUCCUACUCCACUUUCUACGACGGAUCCCGCGCAACUCCACUACUCCCUGGCAGGCCACAAUAAUGGCCACGAUCCUGCUCCACUUCCUGCGACGGAUACCGUGCGAUUCUCCCAUCCACUGGCAAAUCGCGACAACAGACGCCGCUCCACUACCCACGGC